rnacentral:rRNA from 1 species
AGUGAACGCUGGCGGUAGGCCUAACACAUGCAAGUCGAACGGCAGCACAGUAAGAGCUUGCUCUUACGGGUGGCGAGUGGCGGACGGGUGAGGAAUACAUCGGAAUCUACUUUUUCGUGGGGGAUAACGUAGGGAAACUUACGCUAAUACCGCAUACGACCUACGGGUGAAAGCAGGGGAUCUUCGGACCUUGCGCGAUUGAAUGAGCCGAUGUCGGAUUAGCUAGUUGGCGGGGUAAAGGCCCACCAAGGCGACGAUCCGUAGCUGGUCUGAGAGGAUGAUCAGCCAAACUGGAACUGAGACACGGUCCAGACUACUACGGGAGGCAGCAGUGGGGAAUAUUGGACAAUGGGCGCAAGCCUGAUCCAGCCAUACCGCGUGGGUGAAGAAGGCCUUCGGGUUGUAAAGCCCUUUUGUUGGGAAAGAAAAGCAGCAGGUUAAUACCCCGCUGUUCUGACGGUACCCAAAGAAUAAGCACCGGCUAACUUCGUG